rnacentral:tRNA from 1 species
GCGGCAGUAGCUCAGUGGUAGAGCCCCCGCCCUGAAUGCGGGGAGACCUGGGUUCGAUUCCUGGCUGCUUCC